rnacentral:rRNA from 1 species
GGGCCCGCACAAGCGGUGGAGCAUGUGGUUUAAUUCGAUGAUACGCGAGGAACCUUACCAGGACUUAAAUGUAAGUUGCAUGAUUCAGAAAUGGAUCUUUCUUCGGACUACUUACAAGGUGCUGCAUGGUUGUCGUCAGCUCGUGCCGUGAGGUGUCAGGUUAAGUCCUAUAACGAGCGCAACCCCUAUCGUUAGUUGCCAUCAAGUAAAGUUGGGAACUCUAGCGAAACUGCCGGUGCAAACCGUGAGGAAGGUGGGGAUGACGUCAAAUCAUCACGGCCCUUACGUCCUGGGCCACACACGUGCUACAAUGGUCAGUACAGAAAGCAGCCACUAUGCGAAUAGGAGCUAAUCUUUAAAACCGGUCUCAGUUCGGAUCGCAGUCUGCAACUCGACUGCGUGAAGCUGGAAUCGCUAGUAAUCGGAUAUC